AGCCCUAAGUGGGUGGUAAACUCCAUCUAAGGCUAAAUAUGACCACGAGACCGAUAGCGAACAAGUACCGUGAGGGAAAGUUGAAAAGCACUUUGAAGAGAGAGUUCAAGAGUACGUGAAACCGUUUAGGGGUAAACCUGAGAAACCCGAAAGGUCGAAGGGAGAAAUUCAUUCGCGUUUCGCCGUUGGCGUGAGACGGUCGUGUGACGAAAAACGUUCGCGUUUAUUGCACCUUCCGUCUUUCGAUCCGAUAGCGAACGCGUGCACUUUUCUCCUGGUAGGACGUCGCGAUCCGUUGGGUGUCGGUCUAAGGCUCGCGGUGGAGCCCGAACGUGUUUUUAACGCGCGUUCGGACCCGCGUGUCCCGGCCGACUCGCUCGACGGUAUACGAAAGGUUUAAUGCCGCUCCUUUGAGCGUUCGACUCGUCGCAAGCGCGUCAGAUGUUGUCGGCGAUCGGACCUAGUGCCGGUUCUGACCUCUGGCGACUGUUGGCGACGAAGUUUUCUCGAACAGACUUUUGACCGAUCUGCGACGCUAUAGCUUUGGGUACUUUCAG
rnacentral:rRNA from 1 species